UGGGGAAUAUUGCGCAAUGGGGGAAACCCUGACGCAGCAACGCCGCGUGCGGGAUGAAGGCCUUCGGGUUGUAAACCGCUUUCAGCAGGGACGAUAGUGACGGUACCUGCAGAAGAAGCCCCGGCUAACUACGUGCCAGCAGCCGCGGUAAUACGUAGGGGGCGAGCGUUAUCCGGAUUCAUUGGGCGUAAAGCGCGCGCAGGCGGGCGCGGAAGCGGGCCUUUAAACUUGGGGCUUAACCUCAAGUCGGGCCCCGAACUCCGCGCCUCGAGUUCGGUAGGGGUAGGCGGAAUUCCCGGUGUAGCGGUGGAAUGCGCAGAUAUCGGGAAGAACACCGAUGGCGAAGGCAGCCUACUGGGCCGUAACUGACGCUGAGGCGCGAAAGCUGGGGGAGCGAACAGGAUUAGAUACCC
rnacentral:rRNA from 1 species